UACGUAGGGGGCGAGCGUUGUCCGGAUUUAUUGGGCGUAAAGAGCGUGUAGGCGGCCAGGUAGGUCGGUUGUGAAAACUGGAGGCUUAACCUUCAGACGUCGACCGAAACCAUCUGGCUAGAGUCCGGAAGAGGAGAGUGGAAUUCCUGGUGUAGCGGUGAAAUGCGCAGAUAUCAGGAAGAACACCCCUGGCGAAGGCGGCUCUCUGGGACGGUACUGACGCUGAGGAGCGAAAGCAUGGGGAGCGAACAGG
rnacentral:rRNA from 1 species